UUAGAAUCUCAAUCAAAUGUUGGAGUCAAUCUGCUUUCCAUUUACUCCGAUAUCUCGGGACAUCUUCUCUUUUUUUUUUCUUUUUCUUCUUUGAUUCCGAACUGGGACUCAUCUCGUGGGUCGUUUCGAUCCAUGUGGCUCGAGGUUAGACCUGCAGGAGAAAACAAACAAACGAACGAAAUUUUCUGCCCUAGUUUCACUAGGAAAAUUUCGUUAAUUAUUCGCCAGGAAGUUCAUAAAAUUGAUGAAGGAAGAUAAAAAUGUUUAGUUCAGGGUUGGAACCUUAAUACCGACUAGCUGGGGAAAGGUUCAGCUUAGGGUUUUAAAACCCUAAUGCCGAACAAAGGAAGAAUUCAGUUCAGGGUUUAAAACCCUAAUGCUGACUAAAGGAAAAUUCAGUUUAGGGUUUAAAACCCUAAUGCUGACUAAAGGAAAAAUUCAGUUCAGGGUUUAAAACCCCAAUGCUGAUUGCGUGGAAAAGCUCAGUUUAGGGUUUAAAACCCUAAUGCUGGCUGAAUGGAAAAAAGUUCAGUUUAGGGUUUAAAACCCUAAUGCUGACUAAAAGGAAAAAUUCAGUUUAGGGUUUAAAACCCUAAUGCUGACUGCAUGAAAAAGCUCAGUUUAGGGUUUAAAACCCUAAUGCUGGCUGAAUGGAAAAAGUUCAGUUUAGGGUUUAAAACCCUAAUGCUUACUAAAAGGAAAAAUUUAGUUUAGGGUUUAAAACCCUAAUGCUGAAUACAUGGAAAAGCUCAGUUUAGGGUUUAAAACCCUAAUGCUGGCUGAAAGGAAAAAGUUCAGUUUAAGGUUUAAAAUCCUAAUGCUGACUAAAAGGAAAAUUCAGUUUAGGGUUUAAAACCCUAAUGCUGACUGCAUGAAAAAGCUUAGUUUAGGGUUUAAAACCCUAAUGCUGGCUGAAUGGAAAAAGUUCAGUUUCGGGUUUAUAACCCUAAUGCUGACUAAAAGGAAAAAUUCAGUUUAGGGUUUAAAACCCUAAUGCUGACUGCAUGAAAAAGCUCAAUUUAGGGUUUAAAACCCUAUUGCUGGCUGAAUGUAAAAAGUUCAGUUUAGGGUUUAAAACCCUAAUGCUGACUAAAAGGAAAAAUUCAGUUUAGGGUUUAAAACCCUAAUGCUGAAUACAUGGAAAAGCUCAGUUUAGGGUUUAAAACCCUAAUGCUGGCUGAAAGGAAAAAGUUCAGUUUAAGGUUUAAAACCCUAAUGCUGACUAAAAGGAAAAUUCAGUUUAGGGUUUAAAACCCUAAUGCUGACUAAAAGGAAAAAUUCAAUUUAGGGUUUAAAACCCUAAUGCUGAAUACAUGGAAAAGCUCAGUUUAGGGUUUAAAACCCUAAUGCUGGCUGAAUGGAAAAAGUUCAGUUUAGGGUUUAAAACCUUAAUGUUGACUAAAAGGAAAAAUUCAGUUUAGGGUUUAAAACCCUAAUGCUGAAUACAUGGAAAAGCUCAGUUUAGGGUUUAAAACCCUAAUGUUGGCUGAAUGAAAAAAGUUCAGUUUAGGGUUUAAAACCUUAAUGCUGACUAAAAGGAAAAUUCAGUUUAGGGUUUAAAACCCUAAUGCUGAUUGCAUGGAAAGGCUCAGUUUAGGGUUUAAAACCCUAAUGCUGGCUGAAUGGAAAAAGUUCAGUUUAGGGUUUAAAACCCUAAUGCUUACUAAAAGGAAAAAUUUAGUUUAGGGUUUAAAACCCUAAUGCUGAAUGCAUGGAAAAGCUCAGUUUAGGGUUUAAAACCCUAAUGCUGGCUGAAAGGAAAAAGUUCAGUUUAAGGUUUAAAAUCCUAA
rnacentral:lncRNA from 1 species